rnacentral:rRNA from 1 species
GGGUUGUGAGGUUAAGCGACUAAGCGUACACGGUGGAUGCCCUGGCAGUCAGAGGCGAUGAAGGACGUGCUAAUCUGCGAAAAGCGUCGGUAAGGUGAUAUGAACCGUUACAGCCGGCGAUGUCCGAAUGGGGAAACCCAGUGCAAUUCGUUGCACUAUCGUUAACUGAAUACAUAGGUUAACGAGGCGAACCGGGGGGAACUGAAACAUCUAAGUACCCCGAGGAAAAGAAAUCAACCGAGAUUCCCCCAGUAGCGGCGAGCGAACGGGGAGCAGCCCAGAGUCUGAAUCAGCUUGUGUGUUAGUGGAACGGUCUGGAAAGUCCGACGGUACAGGGUGAUAGUCCCGUACACCAAAAUGCACAGGUUGUGAACUCGAAGAGUAGGGCGGGACACGUGGUAUCCUGUCUGAAUAUGGGGGGACCAUCCUCCAAGGCUAAAUACUCCUGACUGACCGAUAGUGAACCAGUACCGUGAGGGAAAGGCGAAAAGAACCCCGGCGAGGGGAGUGAAAAAGAACCUGAAACCGUGUACGUACAAGCAGUGGGAGCACCUUCGGGUGUGACUGCGUACCUUUUGUAUAAUGGGUCAGCGACUUAUAUUCUGUAGCAAGGUUAACCGUAUAGGGGAGCCGCAGGGAAACCGAGUCUUAACUGGGCGUUAAGUUGCAGGGUAUAGACCCGAAACCCGGUGAUCUAGCCAUGGGCAGGUUGAAGGUUGGGUAACACUAACUGGAGGACCGAACCGACUAAUGUUGAAAAAUUAGCGGAUGACUUGUGGCUGGGGGUGAAAGGCCAAUCAAACCGGGAGAUAGCUGGUUCUCCCCGAAAGCUAUUUAGGUAGCGCCUCGUGAACUCAUCUUCGGGGGUAGAGCACUGUUUCGGCUAGGGGGGUCAUCCCGACUUACCAACCCGAUGCAAACUACGAAUACCGAAGAAUGUUAUCACGGGAGACACACGGCGGGUGCUAACGUCCGUCGUGAAGAGGGAAACAACCCAGACCGCCAGCUAAGGUCCCAAAGUCAUGGUUAAGUGGGAAACGAUGUGGGAAGGCACAGACAGCGGGAUGUUGGCUUAGAAGCAGCCAUCAUUUAAAGAAAGCGUAAUAGCUCACUGGUCGAGUCGGCCUGCGCGGAAGAUGUAACGGGGCUAAACCAUGCACCGAAGCUGCGGCAGCGACACUAUGUGUUGUUGGGUAGGGGAGCGUUCUGUAAGCCUGCGAAGGUGUGCUGUGAGGCAUGCUGGAGGUAUCAGAAGUGCGAAUGCUGACAUAAGUAACGAUAAAGCGGGUGAAAAGCCCGCUCGCCGGAAGACCAAGGGUUCCUGUCCAACGUUAAUCGGGGCAGGGUGAGUCGACCUAAGGCGAGGCCGAAAGGCGUAGUCGAUGGGAAACAGGUUAAUAUUCCUGUACUUGGUGUUACUGCGAAGGGGACGGAGAAGGCUAUGUUAGCCGGGCGACGGUUGUCCCGGUUUAAGCAUGUAGGCUGGUUAUCCAGGCAAAUCCGGAUAAUCAAGGCUGAGGUGUGAUGACGAGGCACUACGGUGCUGAAGUAACAAAUGCCCUGCUUCGGGAAAAGCCUCUAAGCAUCAGGUAACAUCAAAUCGUACCCCAAACCGACACAGGUGGUCAGGUAGAGAAUACCAAGGCGCUUGAGAGAACUCGGGUGAAGGAACUAGGCAAAAUGGUGCCGUAACUUCGGGAGAAGGCACGCUGGUGUGUAGGUGAAGUCCCUGCGGAUGGAGCUGAGACCAGUCGAAGAUACCAGCUGGCUGCAACUGUUUAUUAAAAACACAGCACUGUGCAAACACGAAAGUGGACGUAUACGGUGUGACGCCUGCCCGGUGCCGGAAGGUUAAUUGAUGGGGUUAUCCGUAAGGAGAAGCUCUUGAUCGAAGCCCGGUAAACGGCGGCCGUAACUAUAACGGUCCUAAGGUAGCGAAAUUCCUUGUCGGGUAAGUUCCGACCUGCACGAAUGGCGUAAUGAUGGCGGGCUGUCUCCACCCGAGACUCAGUGAAAUUGAACUCGCUGUGAAGAUGCAGUGUACCCGCGGCAAGACGGAAAGACCCCGUGAACCUUUACUAUAGCUUGACACUGAACAUUGAGCCUUGAUGUGUAGGAUAGGUGGGAGGCUUUGAAGCGUGGACGCCAGUCUGCGUGGAGCCAACCUUGAAAUACCACCCUUUAAUGUUUGAUGUUCUAACGUUGGCCCCUGACCGGGGUUGCGGACAGUGUCUGGUGGGUAGUUUGACUGGGGCGGUCUCCUCCCAAAGCGUAACGGAGGAGCACGAAGGUUAGCUCCGGUCGGACAUCAGGAGGUUAGUGCAAUGGCAUAAGCUAGCUUGACUGCGAGCGUGACGGCGCGAGCAGGUGCGAAAGCAGGUCAUAGUGAUCCGGUGGUUCUGAAUGGAAGGGCCAUCGCUCAACGGAUAAAAGGUACUCGGGGAUAACAGGCUGAUACCGCCCAAGAGUUCAUAUCGACGGCGGUGUUUGGCACCUCGAUGUCGGCUCAUCACAUCACGGGGCUGAAGUAGGUCCCAAGGGUAUGGCUGUUCGCCAUUUAAAGUGGUACGCGAGCUGGGUUUAGAACGUCGUGAGACAGUUCGGUCCCUAUCUGCCGUGGGCGCUGGAGAAUUGAGGGGCUGCUCCUAGUACGAGAGGACCGGAGUGGACGCAUCACUGGUGUUCGGGUUGUCAUGCCAAUGGCACUGCCCGGUAGCUAAAUGCGGAAGAGAUAAGUGCUGAAAGCAUCUAAGCACGAAACUUGCCCCGAGAUGAGUUCUCCUGAGACUAUAAGUCUCCUGAAGGAACGUUAAAGACGAUGACGUUGAUAGGCCGGGUGUGUAAGCGCAGCGAUGCGUUGAGCUAACCGGUACUAAUGAACCGUGAGGCUUAACCUUACAACGCCGAAG